GAUUCCUAAAGGGAUGAAACCUGUAGGCCUUUAACCACAGCCUUCAGUUUUUGGAAUAACAUUCCUGUGAGGGACACGGGUCUGUGCCUCUGAGUUAGUAGGUGUGGGUUUGUUCAAGCUGGGUUUUCAAGUUUGACCUCCCCAGAGCACACGCCGUUUUGGGGGUAGAAAUACCUAUUUGGAAACAGCAUCAGGACUUUGCAUAAAUGUCAGAAGAUGAUUUCCUCCCCUGCCGCUGAUCUCCCCAUGCCCUGCGCUACCGUUAUGGCUGUGGACGGGUGGCAGGAAGAGACUCAAAGAAAAGCAGGUUUCAGGAGCGUCUUCAGCACAACCUCGUGAACCAGUUUAUGACUGAGAACAAGCCAUCAUCACCGUUUUUCUGUUUGAUUUGCUGAUUUCUCUAGGAACCAGUGGAUGAAGGCAUUCUGGAUUUCGUGAAGGUUUCUCAUCUGGCUUUUAAAAAACCCAUCAACGCUGGAAAACCCAAGGCCUCUGUGAGCAUACCGUGGCCUUUAAAGAGAGUCCUGUGCCUGGAACCCCUGAAAUAUAUACUGGGGUUAAUACGCUUAAAGGUGGCUUCAGAAGCAAAGUAACAUCAAGGCCCUAAUUCCGGAACUGGCCCUGCCCGUCUAUCACUGUCUUCCGGUGUGGUGGCAGCCAUGGGAUCCGGAGGAGACUUCUGAUUUCAAGCUCCCUCCUUUUGGGUGACCUGUCCGACUUCAUUCAGGACUUAGGCAAGGACAGAUUGUCCUUCUGAGCCUGCAGAUGGGAUCCUGGUAAAUCUGGCAGAAGCUGGAAGGGGUGAGAAUUCUGACCAGAGUCAGCUCUCCUGAACCUCUGUUUGCAGUGCCCAGUUGAGAGAGAAAGGUAAAUGUUCAUGUCCCUUCCUUUCCAAAUCCAGACCCAUUGGUUGAUCUUUUCUCUCCCAGGGACAGCUGUUGCCUUCUCGUUUGUCUCGUUUUGUGUCCUGAGAACUUGGCUUGGCCACUGUCAGGUUGGGCAGCUAUAACAGAAAUGUAAGUUGCACCUUACAUUUGUGGCUGAGGUCCUAUCGAUUAGUGCCAGCCCUCAGGGGAACUAAGUCUUUCCUUCUUUUGGUUAUCUUUGGGAGUGGCUCUGGAGCUUGGGAGAGUGGUGUCCUUUGCACCCUCAUUGGGAAUGCCUCUUGCAUCCAUGGGGUCUUUCAAUAUGGCCAGGAAUAUUUACUGUUUGUCCCCCUGCCAAGAUAUUUAAAAGGAUUGUUUAAGUAGCUCUAUGGUCAGAAGUUGGCCAAACUGGAAGCUGAUAUACAGAGCCCGUUAGGAACUUUUUAAAGGCUUUGUCCCCCAAGUCAAAAUGAAGCUAUGUGCCCAGAGGGAAAGAAAAACAUUCCAAAGACAAAGCUCUAAAUCUAGAGCAUAGGAAUCUCUUGCAUUCCAUCUCAGUUGAAGAUCUUCUCCCUGAUCUAAAGAAGCAAAUAGAAGAUGAUGCAGUUGGAUGGGCUAUGAUGUCAUUCACGUUGCAACCCAAUUCCCCGCCUGUCCUUGUCUUACGGACCUAGUCUUUACACGAACAGAGAUGCCGCUCUAGAGGCAGUUCAAAGCCCACCUAUCGUUUCUGUCAAUCCCCAGACAUCCCUUCUUCAUCUCAAAAGGCUUGCAGACAUUGUAAAAUACCUGGAUUUUAAGAAAAGUCCUUCCUGGACGAACUUCCAUUUUUUUUUCCCUGUGCCUUUGAGUUGUGAAUGUUCUACCUGGUCUCCUCCAAGAAUUCUUACCUAGGCCAGCUCUUAGAAACACAAACUUCAGGCAGGUAAUUCUCGCCAGAAGGAAAAAAAGAUGGGGAAGGCUGUUUGGAGCUUAGGUGAGUGAAAAAUCUUAAGUGUCUUCUCCACAAAUAGUAAUGAAAAGCGUUAGCCGUCUGAGCAGGUAACCCUACCUUACUCCAACUUCCAGAAACAGGAUUUGGAUAAAACUGUUCUUCUAUAAACUAGUAAGUUUUGCAUUAUUGUACCUGUCUCAUGGCUAAAAUUUUAAAACAAAAGCUUUAUGAUCUCUGCAUCUGUCUGUAUGUUUAUCUAUGUACGUUGUAUAUUUGUAAUGGUUUUUCUACCACUGAGGGUAUUGCCAAAUUAAUUUGCAAAAGAGCAUAUUUAAUUGGCUUAAAGAAAAAUAAGGCGAUUAUCAAAUUAAGUAUUCUAAAACUCUGAAAUACAGAAACUUAACCACAAAUGUUUUCAAGUUCGCAUGAUCUAGGAAAAUCUUAGUAAAUGAAAGCUAACUUAAGUUUGUUGGUUUAAUUAAGUAGGUAUGUUAAAUAUAAUGCAUAUGUACAAACUUUUAUUCUACCUGGGUUAUUAGUCCAAUCAAGUUCAUGUUAAUCUCUGUUACAAAAUUUGUCACCAAGGAAGAGAACUUAAGAUGUUGGCUAGCUGUUUAAUGCCUCGAGAAAUUUUCAUGACUAAUCUAAACAGAAUUGUUAAGAACAAAUGAUCUGUACGUUUCUCACUGGGUAGAAGCUUUUUCCUGUUGAUAAGCAACUGCCUCUUUUGUAGCAAAGAAAUUACUUCAAAACAUCUUCCCUAUAGGGGGCACCCCCAUCAUUUUUGCAUAUGACUGAGGAACUCAUUUUACUGGCCAGGUAAUCCGAGAACUCUGGAGAGUCCUUCUUAUGCUAUACAGGCUGCAUUCAGGACUAGGAGAAAAGACUAAUGACAUCAUUAAAACCCAAUUAGGAAAAUUUCCUGAGACUUUGACCAAGGUGCUGUCACUGGUCCUUUUGCAUCUAAGGUCCUUGCCUUUUGAAAAACCUAAGCUCACUCCCGAUGAAACAGCAUGGGUCCAUGCAUCUGCUUUAGUCUCCAAACUGUGACCCUCAAAUUGCCCAACAGGACCUGUUAAAAAAUUGCUAGUCAUCUAUUCUCUAUUCCUCCUACAGGUUAAAAAGCUUAUGCUGAACAAGAUUACAGCCUGACACUGACACCCCUCAUGACCUACUUCCUGGAGAAUACAUCCGCUGGAAAAGACCCCAACUAAAGGACUCCUGCUUUGCUCCUUGGAAAGGAUCUUUUCUGGUACUGUUCGCCAGUUCCUGCACAGCUAAACUUGAAGGCAUCCGGCCCACCUGAAAGGAGUAACAGGACCAGAAUGAACCAGCAAAGCCACUGGUGAUCUCGCACUUAAGAUCUCCCAGCACCAGAAGCAGACGACAUCAGACAUAGACAGCUAUCCCAAGACAACAGGCCAGGCCUGUAUAACUUAACUUGAUUUCCACCACUGUUCUCUUUACUGUGGAAAUCACGAUGGGGUAAGUUAACCAGACUCCUCCACUUAUCUGUUUUCUCUCCGGGUUGCCCGUGUCUCCCAGGCAAUUGCCAAGGGAGGUGACCUUUCAGACUCUGUAUUUGUCAUUUAAAACUCCGAUCUGUCUGUAAGGUUGGAGACUCCCUGGUCCUUCCUGUAACCCGAUUUUUCUUCUCUCAUCCUUAGUGCCAUCAUAAGCAACAGCUGAAGUCCCUUCGAUGUCAGCUACAGUGUUAAACUUUUGCAGCCCGGUUUCCCAGUGCCUUAUUUUUACCUUUCUCUCAUCAUAACUCUCCUUGCCCAAUUUGACACAAGUAUCUUGUAAACCGUAGUACAUUUGUGCCCCCCAUGUUCUUAUGGUUAUCUAAAUCAGAUUUCAAAGGAUUUGUCUCUUACCUCAUGAGAGAUGUUAAACUACUUAGGUUUAUUGUUCAGUUACAUGGGAAGCAUUGCCAACUAAGUGAUGAUAAAUCAUCUUGGGUUAUUUGUAUUUUAAUAACACUUAAUUAUUAAUAUAAUUAAGUGUUCUAGAAAUUGUGUGAAAUUCCUAGAAAUCUGAUACGUCUUGGUAUAAUGUUAUCAGUCAUAAUUCUUAUUAUCUUAAAAUAUUGUCUAUCACAGAAGUAACCAAAUUUCCUUGUCAAUUCCAUUAUAAUGAACUCUCAUCAGAUCUUUAGCAAUGGGCAUUUUUAAGUUCUUUUGUCAUUUACAGAUAUUGUUUUACUCUGAUGCUUUUGCAAAAGUGAGAUUCGUGGCAAG